AUGAUGUCUACUUGUCAUAGGUGUGCAAUUAGUGAGGGGCACAGAGACAGACACACAGCACCAACCCACAAGGGAGAGCCAGCAAGAGCAGCAGAAGAGAGAAGCCCUGUGCCCAGGGAUGCAGCAGAAAGUGCGCGGCAAGGCUUCCGGGACCAGGCAGCAUCCAGGUCAGACCAGGAACUGGAGUGGAUGUCAGCAUGUGUCGGGUGGGGCCUUCAAGGCUCAGGAAGACAAAAACAGCCCAGUGUGGAGCUACCUCACACACCAGCCAAUUCUCAGGCCGACAGCCUCUGCUCUUUCACUCAGGACUCCAUAGUAUUGGCAGAUGGCUGCUGAAGGAAAAAACGUUCUGUCUUACAACGGCCAGAAACUUCUGGAUACCCUCAUCAACACCAGUUGGCAUUUCUUCUGAUCAGUGCCAUCGACAAUCCUGACUCACCAGACAAGCAAAGCAGGCCUCAAACGGUGACUCCAACUCAUCCACCAAAGUGCUGGUAGAAGGCCUCGGAGUGCCUGGAGCUGCCUGAGGGAGCACAGCCUGGCCCAGGAACCCCAGUGUGGGUGGCGGGGGCCCCGGUGGCUGCCCAGAACACAUACAGCCUCUCGAAGCUGCUGUGUCUGGAAUCAAAAUUUAAUUGAUUAUUGCAGAUAUUUAGAAAAUCAAUUGACCUUUCUGUAGUAACUCAGUAGUCUGUGACCUUGUCAUUUCACUUAUAAGUUCCAGGGCUUUUUGUUUUGUUUUGGUUUUGGUUAAUUCUUUGGGAUUUUCUACAUAGGCAAUCAUAAUUCGUGAACACAGACAAUUUUAUUUUUUUCUUCUUAAUCUGUAUACCUUUUAUUUCCUUUUCUUGUCUUUUUCUUUUUUCUUGCAUUAUUAUUUUUAAUGGACACAUCAUACUUCUACAUAUGUAUGCAGUACAGUGUGAUGGUUCCAUACGUGUAUAUAAUGUGUAAUUAUCAAAUUAGGGUAAUGAGCAUAUCUAUCACCUCAAAUAUUUAUCAUUUCUUUGUCUUGGGAUCAUUCAUAAUCCUCUCUUCUAAGCUAUUUGAAAAUAUACAAUAAAUUCCUGUUAGUUAUAGUCACCCUAUAGUGGUAUAGAGCACUAGGACUUACUCCUCCUAUCUAGCCAUACUUUUGCCUUCGUUAACCAACUUCUGGCCAUUUCAUCUUCCUCCCUACCUUUCCCAGCCUCUAGUAACCACUUCCUACCCUAUUUCUAUGAGAUCUUUUAGCUUCCACAUAUGAGUGAGAACAUGUGGUAUUUGUCUUUCUGUGCCUGGCUUAUUUCACUUAACAUAAUAUCCUCCACACUCAUCCAUGCUGCCAUGAAUGAAAUAAUUUCAUUUAUUUAAUGGCUGAAUAAUAUUCCAUUGUAUAUGUGUACCACAGUUUCCUUAUCCAUUUAUCUGUUGUUGAACACUUAGGUUGAUUCAACAUUUUGGAUAUUGCAAAUAAGGCUGCAAUAAGCAUGGGACUGUAGAUAUCUCUUUGACAUACUGAUUUUCAUUGAUUAGGUAUACACCCAGCAGUGGGAUUGCUGGAUGAUAUAGUACUUCUAGAGGAACCUCCAUGGUGCUUUUCCAUAAUGGCUGUACUAGUGUAUGAGUUCCUCUUUCUCUGCAUCCAUGUGCAGUGUAUGAGUUCCUCUUUCUCUGCAUCUGUGCCAGCCUUUGUUAUUUCUGCCUUUUUGAUAAUGGCCAUUCUAACUGGGGUGAUACCUUAAUGUGGUUUUGAUUUGCAUUUCUCUGAUGAUUGGUGAUGAUGAGCAUUUUUUUCAUAUUCCUGUUGGCUGUUUGCAUGUCUUCUUUUGAGCAAUCUCUAUUCAGCUCAUUUGUCCGUUUUUAAAUUGGAUUGUUUUUAUUUUUGUCUUUUGCUGUUGAGUUGUUUGAGUUCCUUGUGUAUUCUAGAUAUUAAUCCCUUGCGGAUAAUUAGUUUGGAAAUCUUUUCUUCCAUUCAGUAGUCUGUCUCUUCACUCUGUUGAUUGUUUCCUUUGCUGUGCAGAAGUUCUUUAGUUUGAUAUAAUCCAAUUUGUCUACUUUUGUGUUUGUUGCCUGUGCUUUUGAGAUCUUUUCCAGAAAAUCCUUGCUCAGACUAAUGUCCUGUAACAUUUCCCUGUUUUCUCCUAGUUAUUUCAUUGUUUCAAGUCUUGCGUUUAAGAGUUUAAUUCAUUUUGACUUGAUUGUUAUAUAUGGUUAGAGAGGUCUAGUUUUGUUUAUCUGUAGAGGGAUGUCCAGUUUUCCCAGCGUCAUUUGUUGAAGAGACUUCUUCCCCAGUGAGUGUUCUUGGAGCCUUUGUAUAAAAUCAGUUGGCUGUAAAUACAUGAAUUUAUUUCUAGGUUCUGUAUUUUGUUCCAUUGGUUUAUGUGUUUUGAUGCCAAUACCGUGCUAUUUGGUUACUACUGCUUUGUAGUAUAUUUUGAAGUUGGAUAGUGUGAUGCCUCCAACUUUGCUCCUUUUGCUCAGGAUUGCUUUGGCUAUUUGGCAUCGCUUGUGGCUCCAUAUGAAUUUUAGGACCAGGGUAGUAGAGUUGUUUGGCCCGUAGAGCGGGUGUGUCAGUUCAGUCAUUGCUGUUUCCCUGGGAUGUGGAGUACUACAUCAGCUCCCCCAGGGAUGUGCAGCUGUUCCUCUUGGCCAGGGCACUGAUUCCCCAGGGAGAAAUGUACCAUUUUAACUGAGUCCUGAAGGUCUCUGUGCAACCCAGACACCAUUUCCCUGGGAAGCAGGGCACUACUGCAGCUUAGGUACUAGGGUGUGUGACCACCUCAGGUGGCAACACCAUCAUUUCCUGGGAGUCAGGGCACUACUUCAGCAUAGGCACUAGGGAGUUGUGACUGCUUCAGCAUAGGCACUAGGGAGUUGUGACUGCUCUGGGUAGCCAGGGCACUGUUUCCCUGGGGUGCCUGGUGUUGUAUUGAGGGGCAGGGCUCAGCAGUGACUGGGAGCCCUGUAUCCUUGGGAAGCAGUGUGCAGCUUCUGUUCCAGUCCUGUGGGGCAGGGUGCAACCACGACCAAGAGAGGUAUAUGGAGCCACUGUCAAAGUGUCAUUGCCCCAGGUGGGAGUGUGUGGCUUCAGCUCCAGCCGAGGGACCCCUCCGGGCAGGGUGCAGCCACAGCUGAGAGAGGCAGACAAGUGGUUUUGCCUAAGCGCUUUUUCCCCAGGAGGGAGUGUGCAGUUUCAGCUCAGCCCUGGGGGUGUUGGGGAAGGGGAGGGAGAGGUAGAGCCACUCCACCACUGUUUGCCCCAUGGGAAAGGGUGUAACAGCUGUUCACAGCUCAGCUGGGGAUGCUGGGCCACCAGGAAGGGUUGUUUGGUGGCAGUCGAACCUCAGGUAUGAAAGGGAGCCACGGCUACUCGCCCCGGGAGCAAGACACACUCCAGCAGUCAUUCUAAUUCCAAGACAGAGUAUGUGAUGAAAAUAAAACAUGUCAGGACCUCCAAACUUGUUAUGCCAGAGGGAAGGUUAAACAUGGAGACAAUCACACAACGCUGCCAUCUUUUACCCAAAUAAAUAAUCACUUUACAGUCUUGUGCCAAAGCAUUAUCCAUUAGCCAGACCGCCACAGAAAGCAAAAGACUCCCGACAUCUUGAAACCUUGCAACCUUUCAAGGAUGCCUAUCUGCUUAUAAAACAAGGAUGUGUCCAUUGUAACUUUAGGUCUGCACUCUAUGUCUAGCUCCUAAAACUAGUCUGCCAGGUUCCGUGCUGAGGAUGCUUAUCUUCCUGGGUACAGAACAAAGACCUCCUGAAAACCUAUUUGGAUAACAUUGGACACAGAUAUGUCUGUGACUUGUGUUUUUCCCCAAAACACCCUCAAGCUCUGGCUUAAUAAAACUU
rnacentral:lncRNA from 10 species